UGCUUUACUGGUUUUGCGGUUAAACUUCACACAAUCUAAGGAAGUAAGAAAAGAGUUGGUAAAUCAGCAAAUAAGGGAACUGCAGCCACAUGUGAGCCACUAGUUUCUUACUCAGUCAGGAAGAAAUCUUAAAACUGAUGCCGUCAAAAACACAUUAUAGCACAUUUUACUAGGUUGUGUUCACUUUUUGCACCGUUUGCACGGUUGCAUCUCCAGAAUAUUGAAUCACAAAGACGACUAAAUCUGUAUUUCCACCAUAUUUGGUUUAGUAACUGAUUUCACUGGAUCUGUAAUGGAUCUUUAUUUUAUUUUGGCUGCGUUUUUAAUCAUGUCUGGUAAUGGUUUCUGCUUUUGUGGAGCUCAAAAGACAGAAUAUUUUCUGUAAUCCAAUGUUGUUUAAGAAUUUAUCUCUCAAAUAAGUCAAAACACCUCACUAUGAUUAGCUACAUUAACCUAAAUUGUCCAGAUAAAAAUAAUGAUCCAACAUCUUACUGAUAACAUUUUACUAGAUGUGUUUUUUGCUCAUCUCUCUGCACUGGCAGCCAUGACUUGACUAUGCAUGGAUCAUCAAUUUUUUUCUUUUUUUUUUUCUAUUUUAUUUGUCUUGAACAAAAAAAAAAACACCAAUACAUCAGCAACAAUAAUAAAACACAACCAUAAUUGUUCAAGAAGGGACAGGAAGAAGCAAAUGCUUAUCGUGUCCGGCCCCCUUCUUACCAUGUCAUAUAACUACGUUGUGAUGAUAAUAACAGUGAUACCAAACAAUACAUACACAAAUACAUAUACAUAUACAAAUCAUGUCAAUAAAUUUAGUGCAGCACUGACAACAUAUGCUGCAGAAAUACCCAAUAAUCUGGCUUUGCCACCACAGCUAGUACGAGAAAGCAUAAACAUAAAUCAGGGGACAUAAUGCACUCCUGCUGCGUGUUUUAAUAAUACAUUCUCAUUAUGGUAUUAUCUGCUUUUACUCGGUGAUAACUGAAGCAGUCAGACUCUAGCUUGGUGGAGUAUUUAGGGAGUCUUUACAUCCUAAACAGAGAUAACAGUACUAUUGAGUGCAAUGUUACCCUCUGUACUUGAAAAAUAGUCGAUGUAACUCUGAUAUUUUCCUGACUUUCACAUGUUUCUGGCUUGGUAACUUUGACCGCACAUCUUAAACUUUUCCAUUAAUUGAAACAGACUGGUGAGUCUGUGUAGUUCAGAGAAAAGCUAUCACAUGGCAUGCUCCGCUGUGGUGAAAAAAAAGAAAAAAAAAAGAAAAGCAGUGGACAGCGCCUCAUGGAGAACAAGGCCUGGAGUCAGAGAUGGACAGCAAUAGCACAGCCACGCAGAAGACAAAUGACCGUGAUAUGAGAAUCAACUGGUGCUGUCUGCCUGCUCUUUGUGUGUGUUUGUGUGUCCAAACCCAGACAGCGUGUGUCAAGGCGAUGUCAAGAUCACAGAUUGUGGCCUCAUCACUGCUCUGCUGAGAAGAUUUAGCUCACACUGGUCAUGCCGACUGCGGUCUGUGUGUUUGUGUUUGCGGGACGAUGUAUGAUUGGUCUCAGCCCUGUCAGAUCAGCCAUGAAUCCGCCGACUGCGUGUGUGUGUCAACCGGGGGGGUGACCUUUUUUUGCAUGACCGUGGGAACGUAUGUGUGUGCGCAGAUAUAAGUGUUUGUGUGCUUUGUGCUGCAGGCCGGGAAAGUCCCUGUUAUCACUGUCGUUGGAGGCGACACCGGGUUUGUCUGUGUUCGGGUGAAUUUGUUUUAUUGUAGGGAUGAGAGGGGUUGUCCUACGCUUCAGUUUCACCCGACUCUGUGACGCCACUCUUUUAAUAUUCUACCACUACAUUUGCUAAUAACGUCAUCACGCACAGUCACCAUUUUUCUUGUUGGUCAUUUAGGAGCUGUCCGACAAAUUUGACAUUAGGCUCAAAAUCAGCAGUUUUUCUCUGAUUUCUCUGAGCCUAAUUAGCCCACGUAUAUGUCUACCUAUACGAGUGUUUUGUGUUAUCAAAGUCACCCUUGGAUCUCGCCUUUUAAUUUCCUGCCGCAAAACGAGAAAAAAAAGGAUCAAACAAAGGAACUCGCCUCUAUUAUGCUACCGCUCAGUGCUCAGCAUGCACUGUCAAUUAUUUCACAAGGUAUUUACACGCUAACAAUCGAGUGUUCUAACAAUCAAAAUAGAGUCUAGAUGUCGAACACGCGCAGGGCUACACAAUUUGCACCAAUCAAAGCUAUAAAACAUGCAAGUGAUGGAGCACAGGAGAGCAGAAUGUAGCUGUUGGGGUUUAAAACCAGCGAUGAUCAUCUUCGUCAAAAUCAGAGGCUGAACUCCUGCUGGAAUUAACCAAUCAGAGGGCGCAGUUGCAUCAGGACCUAAAACAUCCACAUUGAACAGACAAAGCUGCGUGGCCAAGACAAACAAAUAAAACAUAUGAAAUAUUAACACUUCAAAUUUGGGUUCAUAUGCCGCAAACAUACAUAUAAUUUUCUCACUUAGAAUAUAUUUUGUUGAUUGUUGUUGUUUUAAGCUGCCUACUUUCACCUUAUGUUACAUCUGAUUAUAACACAGUGACAAUUAAACUUCCCAUAUGUCUAAUUCAUGCAUUAAUCACGAUUCACUCACUUGUUGUAGGUCAGUACUGUAUGAACUUUCAGGUGUUGUCCAAGGUGCUGAAGUUACUGACUUCCAGGUAUCUGAAACAGUCACAACACAAGUUUUUGACUUUCUUUCACUUUUAUUUAACAGAAUUUUGUUGUUUUUGUGCUAAUGAAUCAAAAUAAUCUGUAUGACGCAUGCAGCAUAUGCACCACUGGGAAGUCACUCACAAGACAAUCUUACAGUUCAUUACUGAGACAAAACUAUAGUACAAUAAGGCAUCAAAGCUGAACAAGGACUCAAAUGACCAAAGAUAUACGCUGGAGAGCAGAAAUCCUUUCUUUGGCCUUUAAAGCUGUCUUAUUCAAACACUUAAAGGAGAACAGGGUAAAUGUAUAAGAAGAAGAAGAACUUUAUUGAUCCCCAAAAGGAAAUUCGUUAAUAUAAUAUAUAUGAUAAUAGUAAUAUAUGUAAUAUGUAAUAUAAUAUUAUGAUUAGGGGUGGGAGAUUAAAUUGAUACAGCAUUGUAUUGCUUUAUUUUGUCUGGUGAUAUAUUGUAUCAUCACAUUUACCAAGUAUCGUUCUUUUCAAAUUAACUGCUAAUAUGAAGUCAAAUCUAUGAUAAUGGAAAAAUGAAAUCGCGAUAAUAUUGUAUUGUGGCCCAAGUAUCGCGAUAAUAUUGUAUCAUGGCCCAAGUAUCGCAAUAAUAUCGAAUUGGCAAGUAUCGCGAUAAUAUUGUAUCGUGGCCCAAGUAUCGCAAUAAUAUCGUAUCGUGGCCCAAGUAUCGCAAUAAUAUUGUAUCGUGGCCCAAGUAUCGCGGUAAUAUUGUAUUGUGGCCCAAGUAUCGCGAUAAUAUCGUAUCAUGGCCCAAGUAUCGCAAUAAUAUCGAAUUGGCAAGUAUCGCGAUAAUAUUGUAUCGUGGCCCAAGUAUCGCGGUAAUAUUGUAUUGUGGCCCAAGUAUUGCAAUAAUAUCGUAUCAUGGGACCACUGGCGAUUCCCACCCCUAAUUAUAAUAAAUAUAAAGGGAUUAGUAGAACUUCAACAGGUCUUAGGAUCAAAAUAUGCUUUUUAACCCCAACACGAUUGCUGAACUGACUGGAAGCUUAAACCACGCGCUGAGAAAUCGACGACUUAAGUUCCAAACCUCUGUAAAAACAUAAGGGUUGCUUUUUUUUGCUAGUCUCCACUUUAUUUAUGCUUUAAGGUCACAAAUCAAAUGAAAUCAUUACAAACGCCUUCUUAUUGUAUUUGCGGAGAAUGGUCACAAAUGUAAAAAGAUUAACCAUGUAUCAUAAUCAACCAAGAUCACAAAGUCGGCUUAAAAGUCUGUAAAAGCAUUUGUCACUAUUUGGACCAACGAAAUCUCCCAACAAUGUUAAAAGGUAGAAGUGAAUGUUUUACACUUCACGAGUGAAAAAAUUUGCAAAGAUUGGUCCGCAAGAAGGUUAACAAGCUCUUCAAGUAUCAUCAUGCAGGUUCCUGUGAAGACUGGAAGAGCUUUUAAUGUAUUUUUAACAAACAGAGAGUACUUUUGGAUAAUGUUGCAUCAUGGUCAUGUUCGGUCUUUGCCCUCCUGUUGGGAGAAAUUACUGAACCCUUACUUAACUCCGUGUCAGAGUGUUUCUUUAACAGUUACAUGACCUCUGUAUAAAGCUGCACAUCCCACAGAGCGUCUCCCUGCAGUAAAUAUGCUGCGCUCAGUUCUUAAUUAGCCCUGUUCCAUAUCUCGUUGUGUUUCUUAUGCUGAACAGAUCCCUGUCCUCUCUCUCUCCAGCUCUGUCCAGAGCCGUAAGAGAGCUAAUUGGCAGCUUGCUUGCCUGCCGCGACGGUGAUCAUGCAAAUGUAUUGGUGCUUACCAAUAGCCGGGCCCAUCAAAACAUUACGAUGGCCAUUACCCAGAGCUGGUGCCGGCCUAACGAACAUAUGCUCCCCCCUUCGACAACCUCCCCCCAAUUCCUAAACUCUUAUUUAUGUGUUUAAUUUAAUGUGCGAGGGAAGAAUUUCCGAAAUUAAAUUUGGUUUUCGUUGAUGCCUCCAGAGAGUGGCGGCGUUAUAAUAACAUGGUAAUUUUUUACACGUCUUUAUGAGAAAUGAGAAAAUUAAUUCUUUCUGACAAGCUGUAAUUAUUGGGCUUGGAACAGUUGCAGCUGAACAGUUUGGGCUGUGGUCGCCUGGCAGUGAGCUAAAAGAGGGAGAGAGAAGAUGGGGGAGGCAAGAGGGGGGGAGUUCAGUUGUACAGCCAGACUCCUAUACAUUCACAAAGGAGGGGAAAGAAUAGAAAAGGGGGUGAAUGGAUGGCGAGAGGAAAAAAAAGGUGGUGGGAGAAGAGGAGAGGGGCGGAGGACUGAAGGUGUGAGGAAACAAGGAUGGAUUAGAAUAAGGGUAAGAGGAUGAAGAGUGGGAGGAAGGUUGCAGAAAAGUUUCGCAGAGUUAAAGAUGCAAAAAGGGAGAUGAUGGAAAAUAGGAGGCAUGAGGAAGAUGGGGGAUAUCAGGUAUAUGACGACAAGGUUAAUCUACAGAAGAGGAAAAAGGAUGAAAAGAUGAGCGGAGGUAGGAAGGAAAACAGGAAGGACUGAGAAGAGGAAGGUGGAAAGAAAAGAGAUGAAGAGUGAAGUUCUUGAAGCAUGAGGGGACAGGGUCAGGAGUAGAGAGGAAGUGGUUACAAGAAAGGAGAAGAGUGGAAGAUGAGAGGAGGAUGGUGGAGGACAUAGGUGGAAAAGAAGGUAAGGAAAGGAUGUGGUCAGGUAGCGAGGCUGAAGAGGUAAGAAGGACAGCGAACAAAAUGAGAUUAGAGGAAAGGAUGCGAGGAGAGAGGAAUUAGGAGAUGCUCUCAGGAAUCAUCAGGUAGGAGUCCCUGCCUGACAUCAUCAGAGGGGUGUCCUCCUCGCCAUCAGCGGCUCCUUCUGUGUCAAGGUUACAGUACAUUAAUAUUCACAGUCUACAUCCAGCCUGGCCCGGCUCCAAGCCUCUUUUAGGCAUCCUUACACACACACACAUACACAUAUACACACACACACUCAAAGCACCAGCAUCUGCUCACACUUACAGAGCUUCUUCAUGUUUCGCCCAAACGCACACACGCACACAAAACCCCCCCCACAAAACUUCCUCUUCUUUGCCCCAUCAUGUGAUAAAUAUGGAAAAGCUAUUGAUAUAAUGCGGUCAUAUUGUCGUUUCUCUGUAGUUAUUCACUUAAGCUGCCAUAAAAGCACUCUUAGAGCUGUUGGGUGACUCAUUUAGCGAACCACUUCUGUACAUUUGUGUGUGCGUGUACGUGUAUGUGUAUGUGUAUGUGUAUGUGUGUGUGUGUGUGUGUGUGUGUGUGUGUGUGUGUGUGUGUGUGUGCAAACCAAGUGGCCAUUUGUUUGCGCGGCCUUAAAAGGAGAACUAGUGUUCCUCUCUGCCCUUUUCUGCAUGAAAGUCUGUGUUGAGUAUGUGCGUGUGUGUUUUUGUGUGUGUGUGUGUGUGUGUGUGUGUGUGUGUGUGCUCACAAAGUGUGAGUGUCAAUUUUUCAAAUGCAAGAUAAAAAAAAACAAACAAUAGGUUCCCUUUUAAUCCUGAGAAAAUUCAAUUUGAAUAUUCCUGUGGGAAUUAUUUGAAGAGGUUAUGUUUGUUUUAAAACAACUAUGUGAUAUUAACACUUUGAACGCGGUGUAUGUGCUUGUGCAUGAGCGGGUGUGUGCUUGUGUGCCUGCUGUGUGUGUGUGCGUGCCUGUGUGUGUGUGUGUGUGUGUUUUCUUCCACAAAUCCUUCCUGUUUAUUCAUUGAGCAUGUUCCAUUUUGUCCUGUGCUGUUAAAUGUUUCAUCCUAGCAAAGGCAUGAUGGGACCCCCUGGGGAUGAGGCAUCUGCCCGCUCGGCCACACGCUGAAUUAUACAUGACAGCGCAGGACAGUGUGUGUGACUGUGUGUGUGUGUGAGAGCGGGCGCAUUUGUAGGUGUCACUGAGCGAAGUGUCCACUUAGUUGCGUGACUCUGUUUCAGAUCUGUGCUGAGCUGUCUUCAGUUGUAUAUUGUCCUGUUUGCCCUCUGUGUUUUUGUGAUUGUGUUAUGCCCGAUCCUUUACAAACUUCCUCUUUUUUUUUAUCAAAGUGGAGACCGAGGGGCAGAUCUGCAAUAUUCUCCGCGUUUUUCUGUGCUGGAGCGACAUGAAACCUGCUGAAAACCAUUCUGGCAGGAGAUAGAAAAACAAAUUAGAUCUGGGUUAGCAUAAAUUGGUACGUGUGUGUGUGUGUGUUUGUGUUGACCAUGGUUAAGAUUGCGGGUGUGCUUUCUCUGAAUGAUGCCACUGUAGCUAAGGUUACUGGGGCGCACUGUUGGCCUUGCAGAUUAGGCAGGAACCUCGUGAACAGUCCUUGUCCUUGUUGUAGUAUUCGCUGGUUUGACCCUCUGCUGCGUGUCUGCCCCCGUUUCUGUCUCUCCUCAGCUGUCCCAUCAAAAAAAAAGCUGUAUGAGACGAACAGAUUAACAGACUUUCGGAUGAGACAAAUACAGCAGCUGACUAUCUCUAAAAGACUGUAACUAUUUAGUUUUUUAAUUUCUUAUAUAACAGAUAUAAGUAUGAUUUACCUGGCACAUCUACUUUGUAAACAGCUUGUGUUAAAUCACAGCACUAGCAGGACGGAAAUUACUUUUCCAUCUCUGUUAAUAUUGCAAACUGCGAUGCCAGGGCUGAAACAGUAUUAAUAGCAGAUGUAGUGAGAUUAUCUAAUGCAGUGAUUGGAGAUGGUGAUCUUAUACAGAGAGAAAGUCAAGAAAAAGGUGUAAACCUGCUCAGUGGUCAUACAAGGAGAAGUUGUGUCGCCCAGGUAUUGAACAGGCAGUUGGCAGUUGCCCUUUGGCCAUAUAAUUUUCCAGUCACAUCUAGGGUUGUAAAGUAGUAGUCGACUGAUCAACUUAGUAGUCAAUACGUACUGAGUCGACCUGAUUGGUCAACUCGAUUUUUUUCCACUCCAAGAGAUUCCAAGAGGAACGAAAACCAAGUGUUAAUGGGGGUGUUUUCAGAGCACCCCAGUUUCACAGGUAACAGCCUGCCUCAGAACACCCCCCUUGUUUUCACCAUAUUGGAUCCACCCAACCCACCAGAGACCGGCUAGAGACAGGAAGAUUGAAGAGCAUCCACAUUUAUCAACGUCCGGU